GGGGCGGCUUAUACUGCAGUCGAGCGAGCUUGCCUAGAUGAUUUUAGUGCUUGCACUAAAUGAAACUAGAUACAAGCGAGCGGCGGACGGGUGAGUAACACGUGGGUAACCUGCCCAAGAGACUGGGAUAACACCUGGAAACAGAUGCUAAUACCGGAUAACAACACUAGACGCAUGUCUAGAGUUUGAAAGAUGGUUCUGCUAUCACUCUUGGAUGGACCUGCGGUGCAUUAGCUAGUUGGUAAGGUAACGGCUUACCAAGGCAAUGAUGCAUAGCCGAGUUGAGAGACUGAUCGGCCACAUUGGGACUGAGACACGGCCCAAACUCCUACGGGAGGCAGCAGUAGGGAAUCUUCCACAAUGGACGAAAGUCUGAUGGAGCAACGCCGCGUGAGUGAAGAAGGGUUUCGGCUCGUAAAGCUCUGUUGGUAGUGAAGAAAGAUAGAGGUAGUAACUGGCCUUUAUUUGACGGUAAUUACUUAGAAAGUCACGGCUAACUACGUGCCAGCAGCCGCGGUAAUACGUAGGUGGCAAGCGUUGUCCGGAUUUAUUGGGCGUAAAGCGAGUGCAGGCGGUUCAAUAAGUCUGAUGUGAAAGCCUUCGGCUCAACCGGAGAAUUGCAUCAGAAACUGUUGAACUUGAGUGCAGAAGAGGAGAGUGGAACUCCAUGUGUAGCGGUGGAAUGCGUAGAUAUAUGGAAGAACACCAGUGGCGAAGGCGGCCCUCUGGUCUGCAACUGACGCUGAGGCUCGAAAGCAUGGGUAGCGAACAGGAUUAGAUACCCUGGUAGUCCAUGCCGU
rnacentral:rRNA from 1 species